rnacentral:rRNA from 1 species
GAUGAGCGCUGGCGGCGUGCCUAAUACAUGCAAGUCGAGCGAACGGACGAGAGGCUUGCUUCUCUGAUGUUAGCGGCGGACGGGUGAGUAACACGUGGAUAACCUACCUAUAAGACUGGGAUAACUUCGGGAAACCGGAGCUAAUACCGGAUAAUAUUUUGAACCGCAUGGUUCAAAAGUGAAAGACGGUCUUGCUGUCACUUAUAGAUGGAUCCGCGCUGCAUUAGCUAGUUGGUAAGGUAACGGCUUACCAAGGCAACGAUGCAUAGCCGACCUGAGAGGGUGAUCGGCCACACUGGAACUGAGACACGGUCCAGACUCCUACGGGAGGCAGCAGUAGGGAAUCUUCCGCAAUGGGCGAAAGCCUGACGGAGCAACGCCGCGUGAGUGAUGAAGGUCUUCGGAUCGUAAAACUCUGUUAUUAGGGAAGAACAUAUGUGUAAGUAACUGUGCACAUCUUGACGGUACCUAAUCAGAAAGCCACGGCUAACUACGUGCCAGCAGCCGCGGUAAUACGUAGGUGGCAAGCGUUAUCCGGAAUUAUUGGGCGUAAAGCGCGCGUAGGCGGUUUUUUAAGUCUGAUGUGAAAGCCCACGGCUCAACCGUGGAGGGUCAUUGGAAACUGGAAAACUUGAGUGCAGAAGAGGAAAGUGGAAUUCCAUGUGUAGCGGUGAAAUGCGCAGAGAUAUGGAGGAACACCAGUGGCGAAGGCGACUUUCUGGUCUGUAACUGACGCUGAUGUGCGAAAGCGUGGGGAUCAAACAGGAUUAGAUACCCUGGUAGUCCACGCCGUAAACGAUGAGUGCUAAGUGUUAGGGGGUUUCCGCCCCUUAGUGCUGCAGCUAACGCAUUAAGCACUCCGCCUGGGGAGUACGACCGCAAGGUUGAAACUCAAAGGAAUUGACGGGGACCCGCACAAGCGGUGGAGCAUGUGGUUUAAUUCGAAGCAACGCGAAGAACCUUACCAAAUCUUGACAUCCUUUGACAACUCUAGAGAUAGAGCUUUCCCCUUCGGGGGACAAAGUGACAGGUGGUGCAUGGUUGUCGUCAGCUCGUGUCGUGAGAUGUUGGGUUAAGUCCCGCAACGAGCGCAACCCUUAAGCUUAGUUGCCAUCAUUAAGUUGGGCACUCUAAGUUGACUGCCGGUGACAAACCGGAGGAAGGUGGGGAUGACGUCAAAUCAUCAUGCCCCUUAUGAUUUGGGCUACACACGUGCUACAAUGGACAAUACAAAGGGCAGCGAAACCGCGAGGUCAAGCAAAUCCCAUAAAGUUGUUCUCAGUUCGGAUUGUAGUCUGCAACUCGACUACAUGAAGCUGGAAUCGCUAGUAAUCGUAGAUCAGCAUGCUACGGUGAAUACGUUCCCGGGUCU